GUGGGGAAUUUUGGACAAUGGGCGCAAGCCUGAUCCAGCAAUGCCGCGUGCAGGAAGAAGGCCUUCGGGUUGUAAACUGCUUUUGUACGGAACGAAACGGUCCGGGUUAAUACCCUGGGCUAAUGACGGUACCGUAAGAAUAAGCACCGGCUAACUACGUGCCAGCAGCCGCGGUAAUACGUAGGGUGCAAGCGUUAAUCGGAAUUACUGGGCGUAAAGCGUGCGCAGGCGGUUUUGUAAGACAGGCGUGAAAUCCCCGGGCUCAACCUGGGAAUUGCGCUUGUGACUGCAAGGCUGGAGUGCGGCAGAGGGGGAUGGAAUUCCGCGUGUAGCAGUGAAAUGCGUAGAUAUGCGGAGGAACACCGAUGGCGAAGGCAAUCCCCUGGGCCUGCACUGACGCUCAUGCACGAAAGCGUGGGGAACAAACAGGAUUAGAAACCCCAGUAGUCC
rnacentral:rRNA from 1 species